CUGCUGCGAGGUUUUGACAAAAUAACAGAAGCUGAAAUUCUGAAGAGUAUUUUGCACCUUGAUGCAGAUGACAGUGCUGUAUAUCACUGUAUGGGUUCUGUCAAGGAGUUUGUGUGAAAUGAAAGGAGUACAAUGCCAUAAGCCUACUUGGCUGUGCUCCAUCCCAAACUGUAAGAAAAGCCUAGCAAAGGCCCAUAGCAUUAAAAAUAGUACUGAUAUUUAAGAGGUACUUAUUCUGAAGAGCUACUGUCCAAAUCAAAGUAUGGAUUUGAGCUUCUCCCAGUUUUGGUAAAUCAACUAUAACCCUUACUUCUGGUAUACUUCCUGUGAUCCAACGAAAGUAUAUAGUACAGAGUGAUAUUACAGCACACUGGUGUAAAUUAGUUUUGUCACAGCGUGUAUGAUCUUUCAAUUGCGUUUCACACAGACCUUGAUGGAGGAAGUGAUUUCCAAAGAGAUAUUAUUCCCCUAUUGGCUAAAGAGAGCACAAAAUCACCCACGGAAUCAAGGAGCUGGAACCAGCUCUCAGGUUAUUGCUGAUAUUAAGUAGAAGCCUGUGCUGCACAAAGGAUAAGUUAAAUUCCUCAUGCUGCAACGAACCCUGAGACAACCCAAAGAACGCAUCAAGAUAAUGGCUAGUUCAUGAGAGAAAUACAGAACUGGAAGCAAAUACAUCUCAGCUGAAGCACUGACAAAUAAUUUAAGACAGAGAAAAAACAAAUAAUAGUCUAUUCCACCCAUCAGCCAAGUCUGAGAUCCAUGAUUUGCUGUUGGUGCUAGGAGAACAGCAGCAACAGAAAAACAUCAGCUUUAUAAGCACUGCUGCCAACUCCUGAAAUCUGCCAAGACGACAGUAACACUUCAGCAGAACAAUACUUAAAGUUGAUCACAGAUAAAUAAUUUUUGAGCAGGCCAGGAACAACUUGUGAUCAGCUACAAAAAUUCCAGGCUCCCUUUUCUUCCUGUCAGAUCUUACCUAACAUGUCCUUUUCUUUACCCUCCCUUAUUUAUUUUCUGUUUGCUAAUUAUGGCUUAGUCGGGUGAAAUUGAAUAUUGACCAACACUACAAUAAACCUAGUAGCGAGGAAGGGGCCAAAACCAGAAAAGCCUGAUAGCAAUAGAAGUUUGCCAGGUAUCAGCUCAACUGAUAAUGCUAUGCCUCACUUGAGCUUCAAGUUUAUAAGCAAGAGUAAGCUUCCAAAUUAUAAACUACUUUUUCCUCUCUGUGUAAUUCUUUUGUUUCUCUGAUUUCCAGUGUUUUUCCUUUCUUCUGUCCAAAGAAAGCAGGACUGGACUUCCACGAGCAAAACACUGAGCACCAAAACACGUUGUUCAACUUACUCUUUUUCCUUCACAACUACAAUAUCUUCAUUGAUGUCAUCUAAAAAGCUGCAAUUCUGGGAGAAAAAAAAAAAAAAAAAAAAAAAAAAAAAACAUAAACAACAACAAUUUUGAAACCCUUGAUUAUGCUUGUUUGCUAAAGAGUUCACAAACUCAGACUCCUACAUGCAAAACAUCAAAUACUUCUUAACCACUAAAUAUCAUUCCUGUAAAAAUGGUGAAUUUGUUCCUUAAUGCCUUUAUCUUUCUCACCUUUUGCCCACUGAACAUCAUAUACACAAAAUCCUCUCUCCUGUCGCUGCUGUUGCUCUCUACCACAGAUCUCGGAUAUGAGCAAACGAGAAUUUUGAAUUCUAAGUGGAAAGCGGUGUACAAGUCAGAAUGAAUUAAGGUUUUGGUUGACAUUUUUUUUUUUGCACUGAGCCUCCCUUUAUGAGAAGGAGGUGUUGCAACAUCAGUGCUUUGAACUGGAAUUCAUGAUGAACUAAUACUUAAAAUUAGUUCAUCAUAAAUUCAUGAGUACAUCAGUUAUAUGCUUCAGAAAAUGUGGAUUAGGCACCUAAGUUCAAUACAAUCCUGUAGCAAACACUUUAAGCAUAUUUUGGUCAUUACUCAACAGAUGUUUUCCCUUUCUUUUUUCCUUUUUUUU